ACAAAUUAUACAGUAACAGUUAAGGCUCAUCGGACCAAUUGCCUUAGUCUCGCAGACUUCAGAAUCUUUAUAGAAAUGGAAUCAUAUGGUUCUGCUUAGAGUCCUUCGUUGUUCUAGGAGAGCAAGAUGCCCCGCUCUCGAGGCUUCUGCAGUUCAUAAUCUGGGGUGCACAAUUCUGAAAUCCACGGAUCCAGGCUUUCCCAAAACUGGCGCUGUGUCUGUCAGCUAGAAGUGGAUGGCACACUCACACUGGGUUUGAAUUCCAAAACACAUCUGGCUACAUGCAUUUCAAAUAUAUAAUUGUGGAAACGUGCCUGUCGCCUGCAGGUAAAAUGCAUCCGGAGUCUGUCACUGUGUGACUCAAGCACCUUCCAGACCUCUAGCCUUCUUUGUCGUCAUUGGUUAACACAUCCCCGGACCUUCCUGACUUCGGGCUGACACCCCCUCCAACCCCCCUGAGUAGGAUGGAAGCCUGGUGAGACGGCUCCAGAGCCGUACGUGCCAGGACGGAGAAACAAGGUGGGAUAUGGCGUGCCUUGUGUCAGCCUGCUGGCUUCCAGAAAACCUCCGGAAUGUCCCCUGAGAAACUUUCUGGCUUCUUUAGGAAGAUUAAGGAUCUUUCAAGGCCAAGGAUUUGAAACAAAACUUCCAUGAAAGCAGAAUGGAAGCUUCUGAGUUCAGCUCAGUGUUAUCCAAGCAAGAAAGUUAAAGUUCAAACUGAGGAUUUCCUGGAUAAUUAAGCUGUAAAAUAGCAGCACUGGAAUGAAGUUCUCCACCGGCACAUCUAAGCUCUGCAUGGUCUCUUCGCGUUGCAGUCUGACUUCGCCCCUCAGAAAGGACCUGAUCAUCAGGAUCAGGUCAGGGUGAUCACAGAAUCUAACCACUAACCUAAGGGGGAAAGACAUGAAAGACUUUUGAAUAGCUCACAACAUGUUUAAAAGGCAGAUAACCAGGAUUGGAGGCUGUGUCCAGAGGAGAAAUAUGUCCAGGAUUGUGUCACCCAGCCAGGUUUGUAAAGGUGCCCUGGCUAGUGCCACUGGGCACAGACGUGGCCCCUCACACUGUCCCCGGAUGCUGGGUCCUGUUGUCUGAGCUAUUAUCUCUAACCUCUGGAAGCUGGCUAUGCGAACACUACCUGUGCAAGGGUGGAUGGAUUCUACCCAGACCUGCCCCUUUGGGUCAUCCAUUCCUGAGUCAAAAUCUUGUGUGGGUAAGUCCCAUUGGUGCGGCUGGGCCGGGUAUUUGACCAAGUGGGCAUGUGAAAAGACACUGCUGGGUGUUACCCUUCUCCCCUGCUGCCCCAGAUCCAGUUCUGAUCUGGUAUCUAUAUGGAAUGUGGUCCUGUGAUUUAGAAAAAGGUACAUCUGGGGCGCCGGGUGGCUCAGGAGGUUAAGCAUCCCCUCUUGAUUUCGGCUCAGGUCAUGAUCUCAGGGUUUGCAGGA